UACGGGGGGGGCAAGCGUUGUUCGGAAUUACUGGGCGUAAAGGGCUCGUAGGCGGUUUGUCACGUCUGCUGUGAAAUCCCGAGGCUCAACCUCGGGCCUGCAGUGGGUACGGGCAGACUGGAGUGCGGCAGGGGAGAAUGGAAUUCCUGGUGUAGCGGUGAAAUGCGCAGAUAUCAGGAGGAACACCGAUGGCGAAGGCAGCUCGCUGGGACGGUACUGACGCUGAGGCGCGAAAGCGUGGGGAGCAAACAGG
rnacentral:rRNA from 1 species